GACGUAGGGUGCGAGCGUUGUCCGGAUUUAUUGGGCGUAAAGAGCUCGUAGGCGGCUCGUCGCGUCGGCCGUGAAAACCUGCAGCUUAACUGUGGGCGUGCGGUCGAUACGGGCAUCACUGGAGUUCGGCAGGGGAGACUGGAAUUCCUGGUGUAGCGGUGAAAUGCGCAGAUAUCAGGAGGAACACCGGUGGCGAAGGCGGGUCUCUGGGCCGAUACUGACGCUGAGGAGCGAAAGCGUGGGGAGCAAACAGG
rnacentral:rRNA from 1 species